GAAGAAACGAAGAGAAGGGAAGAAGAGAAAGUGAGGUGGUGACAAGGAGAUUGGAAGAGCCUAUCGACCAUCUUAGGUUCAGCUUGUAUUAUAUAGAAGCUGCGUUGAGCGAUAUCGGAGCUUGUUGAUCGGCGAGUUGAAGUACGUCGUGUCAUUGUUUGUAUGCUCAUCUUGUUAAUUCAUACAACACAUAUUUUCUUGGACUGAUGUAUUUUGUGUCAAAAAAUGCAUUAAGUCACAGGCUCAUUGCAUAUUUGUGUAUGUUUUGAAAUGAAGUUGUUUGGUGGUAAAGAAGGAUAAAUUUCUUUUUCAGUACAACUACUUUGAAGAA